GCGGUGGUAGCUCAGUUGGUAGAGCAUCAGCCUUCCAAGCUGAGGGUCGCGAGUUCGAGCCUCGUCCGCCGCU
rnacentral:tRNA from 1 species